rnacentral:lncRNA from 1 species
AGAAAAAUAUGUUGAAAAUUAUCAAAUUUGUUAAUGUUAGAAUUAUCUUUCUUUCCCUCUUUCUUUUUGCAAUGAAUGUUGAAGGUCAAUUUCCCGGUCAAUUUCAACGUAAUUGGACUAAGCCUUGUUCUCUACAUUCUGAUUGUUCAUAUGACAUGUGUAAGCCUCCUUUCAACCCAGCAUGUAUAGAGCACAUGUGUAUGUGUCGAUUCUUUAAAAUCGAAUAUUAAGAGAGUACAUAAAGUCUUUUUUAGAAUAUCUCUUAAGGUAUUCUAUAGUUAUUUUACUGAUACUCAACAAAAAAUUUAGUUAUGGAUUUGUAUUGAUAGAUGAUGGUAACAAAAUAUCUUUAAUAGUUAAGUUCAAAAUUAGUUUUUAUGUUAUUUCUACUCAAGAAAUCUACAUUGUCAUGCCCACAUUUAAACUAAUGUUGUUCUUAUAUAUUCAUCAAUAUUCCAUUGUUCAUUCUAA